UCCUAGCCCUGAUAGCAGUGAAAAUCCUUUUUAGGACUCGCCAUAGCGAGGAAAAAAAGAGUGUAACGAAUAGCAGGAAUAGCU
rnacentral:sRNA from 1 species